UGGUGCAGUGCUCCCUCCUCAGGGUUAUC
rnacentral:piRNA from 1 species